rnacentral:rRNA from 1 species
UACGUAGGGUGCAAGCGUUAAUCGGAAUUACUGGGCGUAAAGCGUGCGCAGGCGGUUUUGUAAGUCUGACGUGAAAUCCCCGGGCUCAACCUGGGAAUUGCGUUGGAGACUGCAAGGCUGGAGUCUGGCAGAGGGGGGUAGAAUUCCACGUGUAGCAGUGAAAUGCGUAGAGAUCGAGAGGAACACUUGUUGCGAAAGCGAGACUCUGGGCAGAAACUGACGCUGAAACACGAAGGCCAGGGUAGCGAACGGG